rnacentral:rRNA from 1 species
CUGGCUCAGGAUGAACGCUGGCGGCGUGCCUAACACAUGCAAGUCGAACGAAUAACCCGCCUUCGGGCGGUCAUAGAGUGGCGAACGGGUGAGUAACACGUGACCAACCUUCCCCCCGCAUGGGGAUAACCGGGCGAAAGCCCGGCUAAUACCCAAUACUCCGGGCCCUCCGCAUGGAGGGGCCGGGAAAGCCCAGGCGGCGGGGGAUGGGGUCGCGGCCCAUUAGGUAGACGGCGGGGUAACGGCCCACCGUGCCCGCGAUGGGUAGCCGGACUGAGAGGUCGAUCGGCCACAUUGGGACUGAGAUACGGCCCAGACUCCUACGGGAGGCAGCAGUGGGGAAUUUUGCGCAAUGGGGGAAACCCUGACGCCAGCAACGCCGCGUGCGGGAUGAAGGCCCUAGGGUUGUAAACCGCUUUCAGCAGGGAAGAAACAUGACGGUACCUGCAGAAGAAGCUCCGGCUAACUACGUGCCAGCCGCGGC